UGGGAAUCUACCCUUGACUACGGAAUAACGCAGGGAAACUUGUGCUAAUACCGUAUGUGUCCUUCGGGAGAAAGAUUUAUCGGUCAAGGAUGAGCCCGCGUUGGAUUAGCUAGUUGGUGGGGUAAAGGCCUACCAAGGCGACGAUCCAUAGCUGGUCUGAGAGGAUGAUCAGCCACAUUGGGACUGAGACACGGCCCAAACUCCUACGGGAGGCAGCAGUGGGGAAUAUUGGACAAUGGGCGCAAGCCUGAUCCAGCCAUGCCGCGUGAGUGAUGAAGGCCCUAGGGUUGUAAAGCUCUUUCACCGGAGAAGAUAAUGACGGUAUCCGGAGAAGAAGCCCCGGCUAACUUCGUGCCAGCAGCCGCGGUAAUACGAAGGGGGCUAGCGUUGUUCGGAAUUACUGGGCGUAAAGCGCACGUAGGCGGAUCGAUCAGUCAGGGGUGAAAUCCCAGGGCUCAACCCUGGAACUGCCUUUGAUACUGUCGAUCUGGAGUAUGGAAGAGGUGAGUGGAAUUCCGAGUGUAGAGGUGAAAUUCGUAGAUAUUCGGAGGAACACCAGUGGC
rnacentral:rRNA from 1 species